GAGUUUGAUCCUGGCUCAGAACGAACGCUGGCGGCACGCCUCAUACAUGCAAGUCGAGCGCGAAACCACCUUCGGGUGAUGUAGAGCGGCGAACGGGUGAGUAACAGGUGGGUAAUCUGCCCUUUGGCGGGGGACAACAGCUGGAAACGGCUGCUAAUACCGCAUGUGAUUGUGGAUUUAUGGUCUGCAAGGAAAGACGCCUCAAAGCGUCACCAAAGGAUGAGCCCGCCCCCCAUUAGCUAGUUGGUGAGAUAACAGCCCACCAAGGCUUCGAUGGGUAGCCGAGCUGAGAGGUUGAUCGGCCACACUGGAACUGAGACACGGUCCAGACACCUACGGGUGGCAGCAGUAGGGAAUAUUGCGCAAUGGGCGAAAGCCUGACGCAGCGAUGCCGCGUGAGUGACGAAGGUCUUAGGAUUGUAAAGCUCUUUUCUGAGGGAAGAAUAGGUCCGGGAGGAAAUGCCUGGAUUCUGACGGUACCUCAGGAAUAAGGAACGGCUAACUCCGUGCCAGCACCCGCGGUAAUACG
rnacentral:rRNA from 1 species